rfam:Treponema brennaborense DSM 12168, complete genome.
GGGGAAUUAGCUCAUCUGGUAGAGCGAUUGGUUCGCAAUCAAUAGGUGGUCGGUUCGAGUCCGAUAUUCUCCA